ACGUACACUCCUACGGGAGGCAGCAGUGGGGAAUAUUGCACAAUGGGCGCAAGCCUGAUGCAGCCAUGCCGCGUGUAUGAAGAAGGCCUUCGGGUUGUAAAGUACUUUCAGCGGGGAGGAAGGCGAUAAGGUUAAUAACCUUGUUGAUUGACGUUACCCGCAGAAGAAGCACCGGCUAACUCCGUGCCAGCAGCCGCGGUAAUACGGAGGGUGCAAGCGUUAAUCGGAAUUACUGGGCGUAAAGCGCACGCAGGCGGUCUGUCAAGUCGGAUGUGAAAUCCCCGGGCUCAACCUGGGAACUGCAUUCGAAACUGGCAGGCUAGAGUCUUGUAGAGGGGGGUAGAAUUCCAGGUGUAGCGGUGAAAUGCGUAGAGAUCUGGAGGAAUACCGGUGGCGAAGGCGGCCCCCUGGACAAAGACUGACGCUCAGGUGCGAAAGCGUGGGGAGCAAACAGGAUUAGAAACCCUAGUAGUCCCA
rnacentral:rRNA from 1 species